UAAAUACUUGAUAAAUCUCCCUUUAAGGUACAUUUUGAACUGAUAAAAAAUGUGCGAUUGAUUAUUUGAAUCGAUUGACAGCCCUAAAAAAUCCUUUGGUAAAUUUCAAACAACACAUGCUCUGUAGAGGUCACUUUCAUUGAAAGUACACAAAUUAAAAAAGGUCGAAAAACUCAUUAAAACUUAUCAGUCAAAAGUAAAAUAAAUCACAAAAAGGAAAAUAUACAUGUAGGAAACAUAUUGUGUGUAGGUCUGAGGGCUUAUUCAGUACCUCUACCUAAAUAAUACAGAAUAGCAGUUACUCUAGGAUAAAAGAAAAAAGACAUUAUAAAACGGAAGUAAAGUUUCUUCCUUUUUAAAAAUGUUCUGUAAGACUUUCGUUACAAAAUCUUGGAUUAUGACAAAAAAAAUCAAUAAAGAAACCCGACAAUAGUUUGAUUAGUUUUAAAGUCACGUCUGAACUCUGCAUGCUCUCAGCGCGGUAGAUGCUUCCAGCUUAAGUUUAGUGAAAUCUGCUGCUGUAGAGACUCUGACUGAAGCAGUAAAAACAUUUCCGCAAUGUAGUCAGAGAAUAAAACGAGUCCAGAUCCAAAGCGUCAACGUAACGGCGUCCACUCCAUCUUUUCUCAACGGUUCAAGGGGGGGGGGGGGAGGCGAGAGGUGCAGAGCAGCAUGGAGAGGUAAUGAUGCUCUUUGCUUUCCCAUUAUCCUCUCACCACGGUUGGAUGCACACUGCACGACCCCCCCUCCUCCAGCUGUAUGAGAGAGGACAUCCAGUCAUCUGCAGGAUGUAACAUAAAGCCUAAUGGAGACCGGACAGUCUACAGUACCGCUGUCAAUCAAACCUGCCAACGCUUCUUGUGAAAUAAAAAAGGAAAAGAAACCGCUGAGCUGAAUGCCCACACUGCCUCUCAGGAAAAGCUCCAAACCUGCAAAAAAAAAAAAAAAAACGAUUCAGAAGAGAAAAUAGAGUCGAUUUGUCAGCGCUGCAGCGACAUUUCACUGUCACACCUCACAGUGCUGCAUUAACGUAGGAAACAAGACACAUUCAGGCACAACUAGAACACACGAGCAGCUAGAAAACACAUUUUUAAAAAUCUAAGCAUGACGAGAACAAAAAGAAGACAUUAACAGAAUAAUUGAUGUAUUCUGUAUCUCAGUGUUGCUGUUUGAGCUGCUUUUGGAUUCAAACCUCACCCCUACGCAGUUUUGAAAAACUAAAGUUUAAAACGCGUUCUGAACACAGAGGUCACAUCGUUCUAUCAUCCCGAAGACGGAGCACUUGAAUGUUGUUUUUAAUGGUACGACAGCUUUAUUUGGCCAAUUUAUUUUAUUUACUACAGGUUUGAGUCUGUGACAGAAUCUAUCUUCAUACAUUUAGAUUUUUAUUUGUUUUUUAUCCACAUUAUGUGCGGUUGUGUACUUUGAAAGUAAAGCUGAUUAUACACGCCGCAAACAUCUGUUUCUAGUGCUGCAAACAGCUGUUUCUAGUGGGCCAGAAACAUCUGUUUCUAUGCACCUACGUGCUGCAAACAGCUGUUCCUAGCGGGCCGCAAACAGCUGUUUCUAUGCGCCGCAAACAGCUGUUUCUAGCAAGCUGCAAACAGCUGUUUCUAUGCGCUCCAAACAGCUUUUUCUAUGCGACCAUACGCUCCAAACAGCUGUUUCUAUGCGCUCCAAACAGAUGUUUCUAGUGUCGCAAACAGCUGUUUCUAUGUGCUCCAAAUGGCUGUUUCUAUGUGCUCCAAAUAGCUGUUUCUAUGCACUCAAAACAGCUGUUUCUAGUGCCGCAAACAGCUGUUUCUAGUGCAGCAAACAGCUGUUUCUAUUGCCGCAAACAGCUAUUUCUAUGCGCCUACGCGCUACAAACAGUUAUUUCUAGUGCCGCAAACAGCUGUUUUUAUGCACCUAUGCGCUGCAAACAGCUGUUUCUAGUGUUGCAAACAGCUGUUUCUAUGCACAUAUGCGCUGCAAACAGCUGUUUCUAGUGCUGCAAACAGCUGUUUCUAUGUGCCUAUGCGCUGCAAACAACUGUUUCUAGUGCUGCAAACAGCUGUUUCUAUGCGCCUACGGGCCGCAAACAGCUGUUUCUACGCCAUCGUUCAUAAAUUUAAAAUAUAUUUAGUGCUCUGAUAGUGCUACGUUCUUAUCUGAGUGCAUGAAUAAAUCAAUGAAUUUUGUUUUAUGAAAAGAAAAAAGCCCCCCGCCGCUAUUUUUACCAGCCUCCUCAGUCAGAGGAUAAGAUAAAUAGGAUAAGGAAAGCAGGAUGAGAACCAUACAGUAACUAACAAGGGCUACAAAGUGAACAAUGUCGUACUCAGUGUAUUGAUUCAAUAUAAACAAAUAGACAGAGUUAUUUUGGAGUAUGAAUGAGUAACUAGGAAACUCACGCAUGCUAGCUAACAAGCUUUGCAUUGCUUUCCGUGAAAAAAUUAACUCCAUAUAAAUAUAAAUAAUGAAAAUUACAACCGUUUUAAGGGGUGAGGAUCACAUUUUCAGUUGCUGAUUUAUCGUCUUGGAACAAAACUCUUUGAACUCAACAUACGUUUUCAACAUUAAUUUAAAAAAAUCAGAAUGUAAUUGAUCCAAACCAGCUGAAGAGUCUGGAUUCAUGUUUCAGAUAAACAAUGAUCACUGUGUGUUUUUAUCUGUCAACAAAUAAAACAUGUCUGAACGGAAA